UACGAAGGGGGCUAGCGUUGCUCGGAAUCAUUGGGCGUAAAGGGCGCGUAGGCGGCCAUUCAAGUGACGGGUGAAAGCCCUCGGCUUAACCGAGGAACUGCCUGUCAGACUGGAUGGCUUGAGACCGGGAGAGGUGAGUGGAAUUCCCAGUGUAGCGGUGAAAUGCGUAGAUAUCCGGAAGAACACCUGAGGCGAAGGCGGCUUGCUGGGCAUGAUCUGACGCUGAGGCGCGAAAGCGUGGGGAGCAAACAGG
rnacentral:rRNA from 1 species